CUGCCUCGUCCCCAGGCGCAAAUAAAAAAAAUUUCAUGCGAGUCACUAUAUGAAAGGUUUACAUGAAGUAGUGCGUCACAUUCUAGGCGCGCAAAGGGGAGUGGGAUAUGAGCGUUCUGGUUAGCGCCUGGCCGAUCUUGUAUAAAUAGCUGUCGAACAUACAAGUAAACAACAGAUCUAAAUAUAAAUCCCUUCAUGUAUAUCACCACAAAGAAAUAAAGCUAUCCUUAUCUGAAUUAUUCAAAAUAUUGUCGAUCGUUUGCAUCGUGAAAAUCAAAUAUACUGCAUGUAAAUAAGCUCGUAACUGAAAUCCUGAGACGAAUCUUGCAAAUGCAAUUCAAAAUAAAGUCGCAUCGCUCCCUUGUUUAAAAAACGUCUUGUAGCUGUAUAUUUUUAAAAUAAAUUGCUCGUUGUGAUAAAAAUUCAUUGUCAUUUUUCCAUACCUUGUAAAUUUAUUAUAUAAACUGGCUUCUACAGCCCCGUAGAACUCUUCAAGUGUUGACAUCUCGGAAUCAUUCAAAGCGUUAAAAGAUAUCAAAUAUCAUCUGACUGUAAUCACAUGUUUAAUUGAACAAUUUGAAAUGUUGUUUCCUCAAAAAAAAUGGCGAAAAAAAGCCCCAAAACUGUCGAAAAACCACGAUUUGCAAGAAACAGACGAAUUUUGCAAGAAACGGCACAAGAUCUCCCAGGCGCUCCUCAAUUUUGAUACCUCAAGCCCAUAACCCCCUGCGCUUGUUCAUCGCGAUGCACUACUUCAUGUAAACCUUUCAUAUAGUGACUCGCAUGAAAUUUUUUUUAUUUGCGCCUGGGGACGAGGCAGACCUGUAAUAGUAUUGCGAACUUGAU